rnacentral:tRNA from 1 species
ACCUAGCUGGCUCAGUUAGUAGACCGUGGGACUCUUGAUCUCAAGGUGGUGGGUUCAAGCUCCACGUUGGGUA